CCUCUCUGCUGCUUACUUGUAGCUCGCAAAGCAGAGUCAAGCGAGGCCACUGAACAUGAGCAGAUCAGGGAAGCCACCAGAUCUCAAGAAGUACAUGCGCAAGAAGCUUCAAAGAUCAACGGUUCCAUAUUGAUUGCAUCAUCUUCUGGCCUCAGGUAAUCAGAGGAAAUAGUGUAGUCACUUAGAACCUGUAAACAGAGCAAUGGGAUUAUGGUUUCAUGAUU